UGCCAAGGGAUAGGAAUCGAACCCACGACCUUCCGCUUACCGGGCAGAUGCCAUGACCACUAGGCUACCCUGGA